UCAGCCCACAAAGUCACUUCACCUUUCUUCUAGGCAGGACCCUUACUUUUCUCCAAAUAUCUUCAGAGAUGCUUUUAAUAUGAAAGCUUCCUUUAAUGCUUCUCAAGGCAGCCUCUGGGGCAGGAAAUCCAGUGGUCUGUGGGAAAUCCCACAGAGUGCCAGAGGCAUAGAGCUGAGGGAGUAGUUUCACCCCAAGCAGUGUGCAGCCCAGUUGCCAGGUUGAGAAAUGCACAGCCUUCACCAUCACACAUGUACAACCCUGACCUGCAGAGGUGCAAACACAGCAGCGCACACUUGCCCAACACCUGCCCUCUCCACACAGGGAUUCAAGCUUCUCUCUGCUGUGAGAGAAGGGUUUGCUCUCCAUUUUCCUCUUGGGUUUUAAUUAGAUUCACAGAACCACAUAAGACCAGGGCAGAAAUGGAGCAAAGAGCCUCCCUGACUUGGGAAUUGCCAGGUGGGACCCACUGUACAUCCCCCAUGAGAUAGAGGCCCAGGAUACGAUACGGGGUUGCCAGGUUACAUGGUGGCUCACCUGCCAAGCUUCCCCAAGGAGCCUGAUCAUAGCUCUGAUGGUUCAAUUAAGCCCCUUGAAUGUAGAAAGGCCCAGCUAAGGCUGGCUGUGACUGAGUACUUUACAGAGCCACCUGUUGCAACUAGCCCAAGCUCACUGUGAGCAUGCCUCCCUUUAGCAGCCUCCACUGCCCGCUGGCCUCCCCAUCCUCAUGACAGUACCUCUCAAAAAUCUCACUCACCCUAAGCCCUGCUCAGGGAAUGUGGGUCCACAUUCCUGAUGCUAGCACCAGGAAGCCAGGCACAAACAAUGCUUUCAGGAACUUUAAAAUAUGAAUAGCCUUGAGAACAGAGGAGCAAACAGAUACACAGUGUCUUUCACACGCUCUGAGAUAAACGUUGCCCUCACCAUGAAUUAGGCAGGACAAAGUUCUCAGAGCAAAGAGGGACAGCAGGGGCUAAAAAAACAGCAGUAGUCCCUUUGGAAAUAUUUACAGGGUAUGAUAACCAGGACUGAUGGUGUGGACGAGUUCAGAUCCUUCCACGCCAAGCCCUGGGACAGCAGGCAGGACCCUAGGAAUACUGACCAGGGUCACCAUCACCUCACAGGCACAGGGACACUCCCUGGCCAGGCCCUCCUGUGCAGGAAGCCAAAUCCUGUGGCUGUAACACGAUCCUUUGCCUUUCCGGCCAUGUCCACGUUAGGACUGCUGGUGUCCCGGCCUCAGGAGCAAUGAUUCAUUUCUGCCACUGGCUCAAACUUAGGACACACUGCAAACUAAGCUUGAACCAGUAAAGGGCAUAUGGGCUGCUCAUGGCGAGGCCAUGCACUCAGAGCUCAACUGCAGGUGGCUGGGGUACAAGCAGGAUGGGAUGCGACCUCCUCCAGCUAGAGGGAAGCUCCUUGAAGUAGGGAGGGUCCUGCCAAUAUAUGGUUGGGGGUCACUGAGGUGGGGGGAGCAACAGAGGGAUUUGCUUGCCUGCUUGUUCACUUAGGAGCCCUGCUGGUCUCCUGGGGACACGUGCUAGGGGAGAAAUGCACAAAAGACAGAACCUGAGACAUCCUUAGCCAGGGAGGGAGAACAAGGAGAGGAUCCGAGCUGGGUGGGAAAGGGUAGAGAACAGGGCUAUCGAAGAGGGACAGAAGUGGGUUGGUAAGUCACAGGAAGAGCCUGUAAGAUGUUGGGGCCCCUGGCAGGAGCCCUCACACAGUGGCGGGAAGGAGGCAGAGGCCUGUCUGCACUGAGGACUGGGGCAGGAAGCUGAGGCUGGCAGGAUGGCACUUAGCUAUGGGAGAAAGGAAAAAGAUGGUGAUGGGUACUGUAUAUCUGCCUCAUGCCUUCAGAGUCACAGCCCACAAGCUAAUGGCACUCAGCCCUGGGGAUGCAAAAGUGCCCCAGGCAAGCUGUGCUCCUACAUCCUUGGCAAAGGGAUUGCUGCUGCAGCCAGGAUCCGGCAUGGCUCCUUCACCUACCAUUCCAGAGUCACUGAAUUUUUUUGUAGACUAGAAAGUGAGCAAGACAAAAAGAGUUUUGCCCUUGGUUAAGGGCACAUUUUCUGGCAAAUUUGGUAAAUAGCUGAAUAUUCUGGCAUCCCCAUAGUCUGACAAAAUUCCUCUUCUGAAUGCCUCAAGAAGAAACAAAUCUGAAUUUCCUCCAGUUUAGCAAAAGGCUGUGCUGGUCAACGGGAAUCUGCCACCUCCUGAAUCCCCCCUCUGGAGGUCAGGCGGCACAGCAGCUGCAGCCUUAAGCUGCUCUCCCUCCGGCAGCAAGCGGUCAAGUUCUGCUGUUGGCCUGUGAGAGCCUACAGUGUCCACAGAGUUAACAUUAGACUGGAGCGGCCCAGCCCUCAGCGGGCAGGAGCACUGGGAACUCAGGCCUCCUUUUCAAGGCCAGGAUGAAUGGGAAAUAUGCAAAUGGCCGCCUCCCAGGAGCGGCAGGGGAGGGCCUGCUGCUGGCAGGAGGGCAUCACUCCACUUGGGUCUGUCACAUGAAAGGGUUUGUAUUCCUGCCGCUGGCCGGCUCCUGGCCAGGCUGGGGCUGUUCUCACCAGAAAACAAAAAUGUCUUUCAGACCAAAGCAAAACGAGGCCCCAGCUGGCCCAGGCAGGCCAUUGGGCGUUGUUCACACUGACCCACUAUGAACACCAAUCACUGGGGCUCUCACUUUGCACCCACUGGAAGGAACCCAUCAUCUUUGGAGACGGAACUGGAGGCCUCGGUGGCUGCUGAGGAAAGCACUACGCCCCAAGAUUCACAUGAAUUAGGAGCUACACAAAGGAAGUAGGCCCAGGAAUAACCACACCUACCACGGAUCUCCCGAGGCAGCCGAGCAAAUGAUGAGGAACCACCCCUGGGCAUCCUGAAGGACAACCCCAAGGGCUCAAAGCAGCAUCUCAUCCACAGCACUCCCCUAACCCCACCAAUCUGUGGACCCAGUGGAUGGUUAGUGGGAACUCUGGCGAGGCCAACGCAAGGAAUGGGAGCAUCACACCAGACCAUCCAGUGAGGUGAGGACCUUGACUGGGAAUUCCUCUCAUCUAUGCUUGGCAGAGUGGCCCAAGCUCCCAAUCUGUCAGGUGACUGGAACCUUGGAGCUCUAAGGAAGCAGCAGCCCUCAGAGAAGACUCUCUUCCACAAAACUGGUCACCCAGAAGCUGUGGGUUCACUAGUUGAUUCAUUCAUUCAUUCAACAAACACUUCUGGAGCACCUCCUUCUAUUCCAGGCUGCACUGGUUCUCAGCACACAGGGUUCUCCAGUGAAGGGUAACCUGGCCCUGCCUGCAAGGAGUUUACACCUGCUUUUCCCUACUGCUUCUAACAUAUUGGCAUCAUCCCCCACCUGGGCACAGAGCCUAGCAUCCUAGCAGGAGCACACUCAAAAUCUGUUGUUUACUGAUUGACUUGUGGUAAGGAAACAGCUUAUAAAACACAUUAUUAAAAUAAA
rnacentral:lncRNA from 1 species